rnacentral:tRNA from 1 species
CCCGUUCUUAAAAGAGCGACAGAUUCCUAAUCUGUAGGCCACUGGUUCGAAUCCAGUCGGGAUCACCA